rnacentral:rRNA from 1 species
AGCUGGUUCUCCCCGAAAUAGCUUUAGGGCUAGCGUCGGAAAGAACCUUAGUGAAGGUAGAGCACUGAAUGUGUGAUGGCCCCAUCCCGGGGUACUGAAUACAAUCAAACUGCGAAUGUCAUUAAGGAUGUCCGGCAGUCAGACUGUGAGUGAUAAGGUCCAUGGUCAAGAGGGAAACAGCCCAGACCGCCAGUUAAGGUCCCAAAAUACAGGCUAAGUGGAAAAGGAUGUGGGGAUGCCCAGACAACUAGGAGGUUGGCUCAGAAGCAGCCAUCCUUUAAAGAGUGCGUAACAGCUCACUAGUCGAGUGACCCUGCGCCGAAAAUGUACCGGGGCUAAGCCUGAUACCGAAACUGCGGAUUGUAGGAAACUAUAGUGGUAGGGGAGCGUUGUAUACGAGUAGAAGCCGUACCGUGAGGAGCGGUGGAUUGUAUAGAAGUGAGAAUGCCGGUGUGAGUAGCGAGAUGUAGGUGAGAAUCCUACACACCGAAAGCCCAAGGAUUCCAGGGGAAGGUUCGUCCGCCCUGGGUAAGUCGGGACCUAACGCGAGGCCGAAAGGCGUAGUGGAUGGAAAGCAGGCGAAAGAUUCCUGCACCCGUAUAUGGAGCGAAGGAGUGACGGAGACGGAUAGUGUGACCCUCUUAAUGGAUUGAGGGCGAAGCGAAGCGGCUGGUUACCAGGCAAAUCCGGUAACCAUAAGGCUAGAGCGUGAGAGGUAAGCGAAAUCUUAGGAAAGUAGCGAAGCACAUGAUGACGGCUUCCAGGAAAAGCUUCUGGCAAUGCAUAUGCGGCCCGUACCGAAAACCGACACAGGUGGGCAGGGAGAGAAUCCCGAGGUGAGCGAGAGAACUGUUGCCAAGGAACUCGGCAAAAUGACUCCGUAAGUUAGCGAGAAGGAGUGCUUAAGCAAUUAAGCCGCAGUGAAGAGGCCCAAGCGACUGUUUAACUAAAACACAGCUCUCUGCGAAGUCGCAAGACGAAGUAUAGGGGGUGACACCUGCCCGGUGCUGGAAGGUUAAGAGGAUCUGUUAAGAGUGAUCUGAAGCAGUGAUCCGAAGCCCCAGUGAACGGCGGCCGUAACUAUAACGGUCCUAAGGUAGCGAAAUUCCUUGUCAGGUAAGUUCUGACCCGCACGAAAGGUGUAACGAUUUGGGCGCUGUCUCGGCAGCAGACUCGGUGAAAUCUUAGUACCUGUGAAAAUGCAGGUUACCCGCAACUAGACGGAAAGACCCCAUGGAGCUUUACUGCAGCCUGAUAUUGAAUUCUGGUCAUACAUGUACAGGAUAGGUGGGAGACAAAGAGACGUGCACGCCAGUGUACGAGGAGUCGACGUUGGGAUACCACUCUUGUGUGACCGGGGUUCUAACCUGGUAUCGAGAACAGGUACGGGGAGAGUGUCAGGUGGGCAGUUUGACUGGGGCGGUCGCCUCCCAAAGAGUAACGGAGGCGCCCAAAGGUACGCUCAGAUUGGAUGGAAACCAAUCGUCGAGUGCAAUUGCAGAAGCGUGCUUGACUGUGAGACAGACAAGUCGAACAGGGACGAAAGUCGGGAAUAGUGAUCCGGCGGUGCCGAAUGGAAGGGCCGUCGCUCAACGGAUAAAAGCUACCCUGGGGAUAACAG